AAGUCGUAACAAGGUUUCCGUAGGUGAACCUGCGGAAGGAUCAUUAUUGAAUAAAUCUGAUGUGGUUGUAGCUGGCUCUCAGGAGCAUGUGCACGCCCGUCACCUUUAUCUUUCCACCUGUGCACACACUGUAGUCCUGGAUACCUCUCGCUGUAAGGCGGAUGCAGAGGCUGCCACGCUUUCGAAAGGAGGUUGGCUUCCUCUGAAUUUCCAGGUCUAUGAUUUCACACACCCCAAACGAAUGUUACAGAAUGUUAUCAUAAGGCCUAGUGCCUAUAAACUUAUACAACUUUCAACAACGGAUCUCUUGGCUCUC
rnacentral:misc_RNA from 1 species